UUAGAAUUAGUUAAUAAAAUAUAACAUUAGCUUGUCAAGCUUAAAUUACUUUAAUCUGCUUUAAGUAUUCUAAU
rnacentral:tRNA from 1 species